rnacentral:miRNA from 15 species
UGGGGACCACCCUGUGUUUACU